AGUGAACGCUGGCGGUAGGCCUAACACAUGCAAGUCGAACGGCAGCACAGUAAGAGCUUGCUCUUACGGGUGGCGAGUGGCGGACGGGUGAGGAAUACAUCGGAAUCUAAUUUUUCGUGGGGGAUAAUGUAGGGAAACUUACGCUAAUACCGCAUACGACCUACGGGUGAAAGCAGGGGAUCUUCGGACCUUGCGCGAUUGAAUGAGCCGAUGUCGGAUUAGCUAGUUGGCGGGGUAAAGGCCCACCAAGGCGACGAUCCGUAGCUGGUCUGAGAGGAUGAUCAGCCACACUGGAACUGAGACACGGUCCAGACUCCUACGGGAGGCGGCAGUGGGGAAUAUUGGACAAUGGGCGCAAGCCUGAUCCAGCCAUACCGCGUGGGUGAAGAAGGCCUUCGGGUUGUAAAGCCCUUUUGUUGGGAAAGAAAAGCAGCAGGUUAAUACCCCGCUGUUCUGACGGUACCCAAAGAAUAAGCACCGGCUAACUUCGUG
rnacentral:rRNA from 1 species